rnacentral:rRNA from 1 species
UACGUAGGGAGCAAGCGUUGUUCGGAGUUACUGGGCGUAAAGCGUGCGCAGGCGGCUUUGCAAGACAGAUGUGAAAUCCCCGGGCUUAACCUGGGAACUGCAUUUGUGACUGCAUGGCUGGAGUGCGGCAGAGGGGGAUGGAAUUCCGCGUGUAGCAGUGAAAUGCGUAGAUAUGCGGAGGAACACCGAUGGCGAAGGCAAUCCCCUGGGCCUGCACUGACGCUCAUGCACGAAAGCGUGGGGAGCAAACAGG